rnacentral:rRNA from 1 species
GAGUUUGAUCAUGGCUCAGAUUGAACGCUGGCGGCAGGCCUAACACAUGCAAGUCGAACGGUAACAGGAAACAGCUUGCUGUUUCGCUGACGAGUGGCGGACGGGUGAGUAAUGUCUGGGAAACUGCCUGAUGGAGGGGGAUAACUACUGGAAACGGUAGCUAAUACCGCAUAACGUCGCAAGACCAAAGAGGGGGACCUUCGGGCCUCUUGCCAUCAGAUGUGCCCAGAUGGGAUUAGCUAGUAGGUGGGGUAACGGCUCACCUAGGCGACGAUCCCUAGCUGGUCUGAGAGGAUGACCAGCCACACUGGAACUGAGACACGGUCCAGACUCCUGCGGGAGGCAGCAGUGGGGAAUAUUGCACAAUGGGCGCAAGCCUGAUGCAGCCAUGCCGCGUGUAUGAAGAAGGCCUUCGGGUUGUAAAGUACUUUCAGCGGGGAGGAAGGGAGUAAAGUUAAUACCUUUGCUCAUUGACGUUACCCGCAGAAGAAGCACCGGCUAACUCCGUGCCAGCAGCCGCGGUAAUACGGAGGGUGCAAGCGUCAAUCGGAAUUACUGGGCGUAAAGCGCACGCAGGCGGUUUGUUAAGUCAGAUGUGAAAUCCCCGGGCUCAACCUGGGAACUGCAUCUGAUACUGGCAAGCUUGAGUCUCGUAGAGGGGGGUAGAGUUCCAGGUGUAGCGGUGAAAUGCGUAGAGAUCUGGAGGAAUACCGGUGGCGAAGGCGGCCCCCUGGACGAAGACUGACGCUCAGGUGCGAAAGCGUGGGGAGCAAACAGGAUUAGAUACCCUGGUAGUCCACGCCGUAAACGAUGUCGACUUGGAGGUUGUGCCCUUGAGGCGUGGCUUCCGGAGCUAACGUGUUAAGUCGACCGCCUGGGGAGUACGGCCGCAAGGUUAAAACUCAAAUGAAUUGACGGGGGCCCGCACAAGCGGUGGAGCAUGUGGUUUAAUUCGAUGCAACGCGAAGAACCUUACCUGAUCUUGACAUCCACGGAAGUUUUCAGAGAUGAGAAUGUGCCUUCGGGAACCGUGAGACAGGUGCUGCAUGGCUGUCGUCAGCUCGUGUUGUGAAAUGUUGGGUUAAGUCCCGCAACGAGCGCAACCCUUAUCCUUUGUUGCCAGCGGUCCGGCCGGGAACUCAAAGGAGACUGCCAGUGAUAAACUGGAGGAAGGUGGGGAUGACGUCAAGUCAUCAUGGCCCUUACGACCAGGGCUACACACGUGCUACAAUGGCGCAUACAAAGAGAAGCGACCUCGCGAGAGCAAGCGGACCUCAUAAAGUGCGUCGUAGUCCGGAUUGGAGUCUGCAACUCGACUCCAUGAAGUCGGAAUCGCUAGUAAUCGUGGAUCAGAAUGCCACGGUGAAUACGUUCCCGGGCCUUGUACACACCGCCCGUCACACCAUGGGAGUGGGUUGCAAAAGAAGUAGGUAGCUUAACCUUCGGGAGGGCGCUUACCACUUUGUGAUUCAUGACUGGGGUGAAGUCGUAACAAGGUAACCGUAGGGGAACCUGCGGUUG